AGGAAGGUGAAGAUGACACUGGAGAGGCUGCCUGUGGUCAGGGCAGGCAGGUCACAGAGGCCAGAGCAGGCCUGGGGUGAUUCAUACAAGGUAUAGCAAGGAUGUGAUGUCCAUCUGCGCUAUGGAGAAUCAAACGCAGAGAGCAAGAAUGGAAGACAGGAGCCCUGGGCAGAACCAAGCAGGAGGCCCAGGGGUGAAAGAUAGUUAUUAUUUAACAUCUCUUAAGGUACAGCCAGGAGGAUUCGACAAUAGAAAGAAAUGUGUUUCUCCCUCCAGCGCUGGGGUUGGAACCUGGGCCAUCCAAACGUCAGGUCAGCUUCUGUGGAAUUGGCUUCCUUCUCAGAUGAGCAUUUCCCUCAUGGUGACAAAGUGGCUGCUGAACCUCUAGACCUAACAUCCCUUCAGGAAAGCACUUCUUUCUCCUCCUCCUAUACUGUACUGUAACCAGAAAUGGGGAUCAAACUCGGGACCUUGCACUUGUGAAGCAGGAGCCGGAACUACUGAGCUAAACUCCCGCCCCACUUACUUCUAUUUUCAAG
ensembl:lncRNA